rnacentral:rRNA from 1 species
CAGUAGCCGCGGGAAUACCGAGGGUGCGAGCGUUAAUCGGAUUUACUGGGCGUAAAGCGUGCGUAGGCGGCUUCUUAAGUCGGAUGUGAAAUCCCUGAGCUUAACUUAGGAAUUGCAUUCGAUACUGGGAAGCUAGAGUAUGGGAGAGGAUGGUAGAAUUCCAGGUGUAGCGGUGAAAUGCGUAGAGAUCUGGAGGAAUACCGAUGGCGAAGGCAGCCAUCUGGCCUAAUACUGACGCUGAGGUACGAAAGCAUGGGGAGCAAACAGGAUUAGAUACCCGGGUAGUCCCUGUCUCUUAUAC